rnacentral:rRNA from 1 species
UCAGGAUGAACGCUAGCUACAGGCUUAACACAUGCAAGUCGAGGGGCAGCAUGAUCAAAGCUUGCUUGAUGAUGGCGACCGGCGCACGGGUGAGUAACGCGUAUCCAACCUUCCCUAUAGUAGAGGAUAGCCCGGCGAAAGUCGGAUUAAUACUCUAUGUUUUCCAAUGCAGACAUCUAAAAUGGAACAAAGGUUUACCGCUAUAGGAUGGGGAUGCGUCUGAUUAGGUAGUCGGCGGGGUAACGGCCCACCGAGCCCUCGAUCAGUAGGGGUUCUGAGAGGAAGGUCCCCCACAUUGGAACUGCGACACGGUCCAAACUCCUACGGGAGGCAGCAGUGAGGAAUAUUGGUCAAUGGUCGGAAGACUGAACCAGCCAAGUAGCGUGCAGGAUGAACCGGCCCUAUGGGUUGUAAACUGCUUUUGUGCGGGAAUAACGUUGUGCUCGUGAGCGCAAGUGCAUGUACCGUACGAAUAAGGAUCGGCUAACUCCGUGCCAGCAGCCGC